GAGCCGCGUGGAGAGCACAAAGCGAACUAUUCUUUCGCCUUUUACUAAAGAAUACCGUGUGCUCGCCACUCUAAAACGGCAUACCUCUAUUUUUAGAGGGGUUGUUCUCUCUUGAGUGCA